AGUAAUGUCUGGGAAACUGCCUGAUGGAGGGGGAUAACUGCUGGAAACGGUAGCUAAUACCGCAUAACGUCGCAAGACCAAAGAGGGGGACCUUCGAGCCUCUUGCCAUCGGAUGUGCCCAGAUGGGAUUAGCUAGUAGGUGGGGUAACGGCUCACCUAGGCGACGAUCCCUAGCUGGUCUGAGAGGAUGGCCAGCCACACUGGAACUGAGACACGGUCCAG
rnacentral:rRNA from 1 species